GAUACAAACAAUUUCGUAUUCAAGUCGUAUAUUUGUUGUUGUGUCAUUUAUAUUUGCAAUUUCGAAGUAUUUAAAAAAUGUAUGUAAUUUAGUUAUUUUAUAAAAAUUAAUUAAAACAUUGCAAAGUAUUUAAUUAUUUUUAUUUGUUGUUCGCUUUUAGGUAUGCAUAAUCUAUCUUAUCCGUUGCGUGUUGCUAUAGAAGAAACACAAUUCAAAUAAUAAUAGAACACAAACAAAUUAGUACUUUUGCUGUUGGGUUUGAUAACGAAAAUCUUAUAUAAGGUUUAUGCCCAAUCAAGUGUGCACAAAUGACCGCCCUUUAUUAUUAAACGAAUUGUAUGCAAAUGGGUACCAGAUGGUUGGUCUGCGCGGCACUAUAUAGUGACAAUGUAAAUUCAAGAGUAGGUACUUGAAUUUUG